rnacentral:rRNA from 1 species
GCUUCAAGCAGAGUGGGUACACCUCUUCCCAUUCCGAACAGAGAAGUUAAGCACUCUAGCAUCGAUGAUACUUGCGGCUAACAGCCGUCGGGAAAGUAGACCGGCGCCAACA